UACUAGAGUAGCACUCGCAUAUCAAUAAGCGGAGGAAAAGAAACUAACAAGGAUUCCCUUAGUAACGGCGAGUGAAGCGGGAAGAGCUCAAAUUUGAAAUCUUCAAGGUUUUACCUUGACGAAUUGUAGUUUAAAGAAGUGUUUUCUGUUGGAGUUUUGGUAAAAGCUUCUUUGGAAUAGGACAUCAUAGAGGGUGAGAAUCCCGUAUUUGACCAUUAUUUCCAGCUGUGUGAUACACUUUCAAAGAGUCGGAUUGUUUGGGAAUGCAGUCCAAAAUGGGUGGUAAAUUUCAUCUAAAGCUAAAUAUUGGCGAGAGACCGAUAGCGAACAAGUACCGUGAGGGAAAGAUGAAAAGAACUUUGAAAAGAGAGUUAAACAGUACGUGAAAUUGUCAAAAGGGAAGCGUUUGACACCAGUGUUGUUUUCUCGAAAAUCCAAUUAAAAAUGAUGGGAUUUUGUGUUGUAUUGACUUUAUCAGCUUUCUGCACUUUUUUUCUUAUCUUUUUUAAUGCACUUUUCGUUUAACAAGUCAACAUCAAUUUCUUUUGUUGUAAAAAGAGUCAUUGGAAGGUGGCUUUUUUCUUCGGAAAAAGUGUUUAUAGCCUUUGGCUUCUGCAAUCGGAGAGAUUGAGGUCUGCAGCGUAGAUCCUUCGGGGUUAGAUACAUUUGUGCUAAGCUAUAGUUCUUUAUAGACAACUUGUUGACUAUAAUCAAUCCUGUAACUUACUCGCUUAUGCUAUUUUACCUACGCUUAGGAUGUUGAUAGUCACAGCGUGUAC
rnacentral:rRNA from 1 species